rnacentral:rRNA from 1 species
GAGAUUUCCCAUCGCGUCAAGCGAGUAAGAUCCCUUGAAGAUGACAAGGUUGAUAGGUCCGAGGUGGAAGCGUGGCGACACGUGCAGCUGACGGAUACUAAUCGAUCGAGGACUUAACUAA